rnacentral:rRNA from 1 species
AACGAACGCUGGCGGCAUGCCUAACACAUGCAAGUCGAACGAGACCUUCGGGUCUAGUGGCGCACGGGUGCGUAACGCGUGGGAACCUGCCCUUAGGUUCGGAAUAACUCCCCGAAAGGGGUGCUAAUACCGGUUAAUGUCUUCGGACCAAAGAUUUAUCGCCUUUGGAUGGGCCCGCGUUGGAUUAGCUAGUUGGUAGGGUAAAAGCCUACCAAGGCGACGAUCCAUAGCUGGUCUGAUAGGAUGAUCAGCCACACUGGGACUGAGACACGGCCCAGACUCCUACGGGAGGCAGCAGUGGGGAAUAUUGGACAAUGGGCGAAAGCCUGAUCCAGCAAUGCCGCGUGAGUGAUGAAGGCCUUAGGGUUGUAAAGCUCUUUUACCCGAGAUGAUAAUGACAGUACCGGGAGAAUAAGCUCCGGCUAACGCCGUG